rnacentral:rRNA from 1 species
AACGAACGCUGGCGGCAGGCUUAACACAUGCAAGUCGAACGCAUCCUUCGGGGUGAGUGGCAGACGGGUGAGUAACGCGUGGGAACGUGCCCUUCAGUUCGGGAUAACCCAGGGAAACUUGGGCUAAUACCGGAUACGUGCGCGAGCAGAAGGAUUUAUCGCUGAUGGAUCGGCCCGCGUCUGAUUAGCUAGUUGGUGGGGGAAUGGCCCACCAAGGAGACGAUCAGUAGCUGGUCUGAGAGGAGGAUCAGCCACAUUGGGACUGAGACACGGCCCAAACUCCUACGGGAGGCAGCAGUGGGGAAUAUUGGACAAUGGGCGCAAGCCUGAUCCAGCCAUGCCGCGUGAGUGAUGAAGGCCUUAGGGUUGUAAAGCUCUUUCGUCCGGGACGAUAAUGACGGUACCGGAAGAAGAAGCCCCGGCUAACUUCGUGCCAGCCGCCGCAGUAA